rnacentral:rRNA from 1 species
GACGGACCGUACGAACGUUAUUCGGAAUUACUGGGCUUAAAGGGUGCGUAGGCGGCUCAGAAAGUUGAAUGUGAAAGCCCUCGGCUUAACCGAGGAAUUGCAUCCAAAACUACUGGGCUUGAGUGAGACAGAGGUGAGCGGAACUCACGGUGGAGCGGUGAAAUGCGUAGAUAUCGAGAGGAACACCAGUGGCGAAGGCGGGUUGCUGGGCUGAUACUGACGCUGAGGCGCGAAAGCGUGGGGAGCGAACAGG